rnacentral:misc_RNA from 1 species
AGAACAUCGACUUUUGGUAUAUGAAUUCAUAAGCAAUGGCAAUUUAGCAAAAUUCUUAUUUGGAAAUUCAAGACCCAGUUGGUACAAAAGAAUGCAGAUAGCUUUUGGGAUUGCAAGAGGACUCUUCUACCUGCAUGAAGAAUGCAGCACUCAGAUCAUACACUGCGAUAUCAAACCUCAGAACAUCCUUCUUGAUGACUCAUUUAGCGCAAGGAUUUCUGAUUUUGGACUUGCCAAGCUUUUGAAGGCGGACCAGACUCGAACUGCAACUGCAAUCAGG